GUGCUUAACACAUGCAAGUCACGGGGACCCGCAAGGGCAACCGGCGAACGGGUGCGUAACACGUGAGCAAUCUGCCGAUUUCUGGGGGAUAGCCGGCCCAACGGCCGGGUAAUACCGCAUACGCUCGCGGGGAGGAGUCUCCCUGCGAGGAAACCUCCGGGGGAAAUCGAGGAGCUCGCGGCCUAUCAGCUAGUUGGCGGGGUAAUGGCCCACCAAGGCGACGACGGGUAGCUGGUCUGAGAGGAUGGCCAGCCACAUUGGGACUGAGAAACGGCCCAG
rnacentral:rRNA from 1 species